AUUUAAAUAGUUUAUAAGAGCGUAAUAUUGAAGAUAUUAAGGUGAUGUGUUGAUCUUUAAAUA
rnacentral:tRNA from 1 species